GCUUAGAUGUUUUAUAGCGUAAUGGAACCACAUUGACCCUUCUCGAACUCAAUAGUGAAACGUUACAGCGGUGAAGAUACUGAAAGGGUGGCCUUUUGGGAAAAUAACACAGUGUCUAAGUAUUAAAUUUAUUAAUAUUA
rnacentral:rRNA from 1 species